rnacentral:tRNA from 1 species
GGGGCUGGGGCUCAGUGGUAGAGCGCUUGCCUAGCAAGUGGGAGGCACUGAGUUCGAUGCUCGGCAACCACA